rnacentral:rRNA from 1 species
CACGUAGGAACCGGGCGGUAUCCGAAGUUACUGGGCGUAAAGCGCGUGUAGGUGGCUAGAUAAGUUGGGUGUGAAAGCUCCUGGCUCAACUAGGAGAGGCCGCUCAAGACUGUCGGGCUUGAGAACGGUAGAGGGAGGUGGAAUUCCCGGUGUAGUGGUGAAAUGCGUAGGUAUCGGGAGGAACACAAGUGGCGAAGGCGGCCUCCUGGACCGUUUCUGACACUGAGACGCGAAAGCUAGGGGAGCGAACGGG